rnacentral:misc_RNA from 1 species
AGGACUACUCGGGUUUCUAAUCCUGUUUGCUCCCCACACUUUCGCACCUCAGCGUCAGUAUCGAGCCAGUGAGCCGCCUUCGCCACUGGUGUUCCUCCGAAUAUCUACGAAUUUCACCUCUACACUCGGAAUUCCACUCACCUCUCUCGAACUCUAGACUACCAGUAUCAAAGGCAGUUCCGGGGUUGAGCCCCGGGAUUUCACCCCUGACUUAAUAGCCCGCCUACGCGCGCUUUACGCCCAGUAAUUCCGAACAACGCUAGCUCCCCUCGUAUUACCGCGGCUGCUGGCACGAAGUUAGCCGGAGCUUCUUCUACGGUUACCGUCAUUAUCUUCACCGUUGAAAGUGCUUUACAACCCUAGGGCCUUCAUCACACACGCGGCAUGGCUGGAUCAGGCU